rnacentral:rRNA from 1 species
UACGGAGGGUGCAAGCGUUAUCCGGAUUCACUGGGUUUAAAGGGUGCGUAGGUGGCUUUGUAAGUCAGUGGUGAAAUGCCGCAGCUCAACUGCGGAACUGCCAUUGAUACUGCUUAGCUUGAAUCACGUCGAGGUGGAUGGAAUAUUACAUGUAGCGGUGAAAUGCUUAGAUAUGCAAUAGAACACCGAUUGCGAAGGCAGUUCACUAGGCGUGUAUUGACACUGAGGCACGAAAAGCGUGGG